GGGAAACGUGCACUUUUCAGAGCGCUAGGCGGUGCGCUUUGAGGCUCCUGGUGUCUGCCUUGAAGGCAAUCACCCAAGGGACCGUGAGUUUGCAGGUCUAAACAGUCCCUCUCCCGGCUCCCUCACCCGGCUGGAAGUCGAUGGUUCGCAACAUUUCGGCCACGUGCUCCACGCUCACAGAGAAUUGCUCCAUGCUCUCAUAGCCUGGCUCCGGCCGUCCUGCCAGCUCCACCUUCGACAUUGCCCCGACCCUGUGAUGGCCACAAGGGCUCAGCAGAGGGACCCCGCUCCCUCAAGCCCCUCCCAGGUCAGAAGGAAAGAAUCCACAGGGUCCCUUCCUUUCCCACCGCGCAGUCCACUCACUUGUUGAUCAGCUCCUUUGCCUGCUGCAGGGGAGAAAAGGAGGGCCAAGGUGAGCACUGGGCCAGCCCUGGUAAAAUCCCAAUUCUGAUUCUCGCCAAUCUUGCGGGGUAGGA
rnacentral:lncRNA from 1 species